GGUGGGGUGGCUGAGUGGUCGAAAGCACUGGUCUUGAAAACCAGCGAGCCGAGAGGCUCCGUGGGUUCGAAUCCCACCCCCACCGCCA
rnacentral:tRNA from 1 species